rnacentral:lncRNA from 1 species
UUAUUUAUCUAAUAACUAGAACAUAUACAUGGAUGCAUCUACCAACAACAGACUCAUCAUGUAGAUCAUGAUAAACAUUAACACCCAAUAAGCGCUCAUAGACAACGCGAUACCCUCAGGACAUCCGCAUAACGUAAGGAAGCAAGAGAAGUCCUGAUAGAAGCUAGCUUCGCCUAGCUUUUGGCGAUCCAGACAAUAUUGUCUUGGGGUUGGAAGUGGCAGAAGUUUCCAGUCCCUUGCUUCUCUUUGAGCUCUUGGUA